rnacentral:rRNA from 3 species
UGAGGAAUUUUGCGCAAUGGCCGCAAGGCUGACGCAGCAACGCCGCGUGGGUGAAGAAGGCCUUCGGGUCGUAAAGCCCUGUCAGGUGGGAAGAAUGACCGGGGAGGUAAUAUCUUUCCGGAGUGACGGUACCACCAGAGGAAGCACCGGCUAACUCCGUGCCAGCAGCCGCGGUAAUACGGAGGGUGCAAGCGUUAUUCGGAAUUACUGGGCGUAAAGCGCGUGCAGGCGGGUAGGCAAGUCUGAUGUGAAAGCCCCGGGCUUAACCUGGGAAGUGCAUUGGAAACUGCCUAUCUUGAGUGCUGGAGAGGAAGGGGGAAUUCCCGGUGUAGAGGUGAAAUUCGUAGAGAUCGGGAGGAAUACCAGUGGCGAAGGCGCCCUUCUGGACGGCAACUGACGCUGAGACGCGAAAGCGUGGGGAGCAAACAGG